CUGGUAAACCAUGGGGGGGGCAGGGAGGGGCACCCGACCGGGGGUGGGGCACCUGACCUCAGCAGCUGCUGAUUUCCUUCACUCCUGGGGGUAGAAGGGAAGCUCGCUCGCCAAGGCAACUAGUGGCCUAGGAAACAUUAAGAACACACGCGAUCCUGACUGCCGGCUGGCCAGGGCCUUUGCAAUCAUCAGUGACCAAAACCCCCAGUGUGUUUCUGAGAUCAUUUGCCUGUUUCUUGAUCCUCUAACUUCCCUGUGAGCCCACGUGCCCUUCUGACAUCAUUCCCACUCUCUGUCUGCACUGGGCCUCACCUGUGGAACUCAACACUCUUGUUUAACAUUCACUAAACCAAUGCAAAAUUCAAACUAUGCACCUUUGUCACUUUAGGAAGAGAAAAACAGUGAGGUGGAAGAGGCAGAGAAAGGAGCAAGAGGAGCAGCAGAAGGAAGAGAAUAAUCCAGAGAAGGACAUGGUCUCUCCAGACGUCAUACUGCUGGUCUGUUAAAGGAGGAUGCAGCACCAAUAUGGCUGACACGCAGUAUGACAUUGGUUUCAGGUAUACAGCAUAGUGAUUCCACUUCUGUGUUACGCUGUGCUCGCCACAAGUGCAGCUGUGAUCCGUGCAGGUGAUGCUAUUGGAAUCUCAGUCACUGUAUUCCCUGAGCUGGGCCUUUCAUCCCCAUGAUGCCUUUCAUUCCAUAAGAGGAACUGGAAUCGGGCGCCUGGGUGGCUCAGUGGGUUAAGCCGCUGCCUUCGGCUCAGGUCAUGAUCUCAGGGUCCUGGGAUCGAGUCCCACAUCGGGCUCUCUGCUCAGCGGGGAGCCUGCUUCUUCCUCUCACUCUCUGCCUGCCUCUCUGCCUACCUGUGAUCUCUCUCUGUCAAAUAAAUAAAUAAAACUUUUUUUAUUCUA